rnacentral:rRNA from 1 species
AUUGAACGCUGGCGGCAGGCCUAACACAUGCAAGUCGAGCGGAUGAAGGGAGCUUGCUCCUGGAUUCAGCGGCGGACGGGUGAGUAAUGCCUAGGAAUCUGCCUGGUAGUGGGGGAUAACGUCCGGAAACGGGCGCUAAUACCGCAUACGUCCUGAGGGAGAAAGUGGGGGAUCUUCGGACCUCACGCUAUCAGAUGAGCCUAGGUCGGAUUAGCUAGUUGGUGGGGUAAAGGCCUACCAAGGCGACGAUCCGUAACUGGUCUGAGAGGAUGAUCAGUCACACUGGAACUGAGACACGGUCCAGACUCCUACGGGAGGCAGCAGUGGGGAAUAUUGGACAAUGGGCGAAGGCCUGAUCCAGCCAUGCCGCGUGUGUGAAGAAGGUCUUCGGAUUGUAAAGCACGUUAAGUUGGGAGGAAGGGCAGUAAGUUAAUACCUUGCUGUUUUGACGUUACCAACAGAAUAAGCACCGGCUAACUUCGUG